rnacentral:rRNA from 1 species
AUGUGAGAUGCAGUGUAUGGAAUGUCAAAUUUCUAGUAUGAGAAAUUAACGAUUUAAGUCCUUCUUAAAUGAGGCCAUUUACCCACAGAGGGUGCCAGGCCCGUAUAACGUUAAUGAUUACUAGAUGGCAUUUCCAAAGAGUCGUGUUGCUUGAUAGUGCAGCACUAAGUGGGUGGUAAACUCCAUCUAAAACUAAAUAUAACCAUGAGACCGAUAGUAAACAAGUACCGUGAGGGAAAGUUGAAAAGAACUCUGAAUAGAGAGUUAAAUAGUACGUGAAACUGCUUAGAGGUUAAGCCCGAUGAACCUGAAUAUCCAUUAUAGAAAAUUCAUCAUUAUGAUUUUAAUAUUUAUAAUAUUAGAAGAAUAGUGUGCAUUUUUUCUAUAACGGACAUUGUAAUCUAUUAAUAUAACAUAUUUAUCAUAAGGUCGAUGGUGCAGAUGUAUGUUCGAAUUAUUUUGCUUGCAAUUUAACAUAGAAGAUACGCUCUCGACCCGAUAAAGUGUUGAUAGAUUUAUUGUAUAUAGUGCUUAAAUAUUUAUAUUUUAUAAUAGCAUAUUAAUCAUUGAUUUUUAUGUUUAUUAUAU